UACGGGGGGGGCAAGCGUUGUUCGGAAUUACUGGGCGUAAAGGGAGCGUAGGCGGUGCGGCAAGUCUGGUGUGAAAUCUCCGAGCUUAACUCGGAGCGGUCAUCGGAAACUGCCGUGCUCGAGUGUGGGAGAGGAGAGUGGAAUCCCCGGUGUAGCGGUGAAAUGCGUAGAUAUCGGGGGGAACACCAGCGGCGAAGGCGGCUCUCUGGACCACAACUGACGCUGAGGCUCGAAAGCUAGGGGAGCAAACAGG
rnacentral:rRNA from 1 species